rnacentral:rRNA from 1 species
UACGGAGGGUGCAAGCGUUAUCCGGAUUUACUGGGUUUAAAGAGCGUGUAGGCGGUCCGGUAAGUCCGCUGUGAAAGUCGGGGGCUCAACCCUCGAAUGCCGGUGGAUACUGUCGGGCUAGAGUGCGGAAGAGGCGAGUGGAAUUCCUGGUGUAGCGGUGAAAUGCGCAGAUAUCAGGAGGAACACCUAUUGCGAAGGCAGCUCGCUGGGACGUAACUGACGCUGAGACGCGAAAGCGUGGGGAGCAAACAGG